CGCUGUCUGAACAAAAGAUCCACAUUUUAGCUUUGUGUUACAGAUGACAAAUACAAUUAGUGUAAUAUACAAAAAUGUAUGUCAUUAUUAAUAAAGUCAUUUUAUUUUACAAGGUGAGGUGGCGACUUGUCCAGGGUGUACCCCGCUUUCCGCCCGUGUGCAGCUAAAAUAGGCUCCAGCAGUCCCCGCGACCCCAUAAGGGACAAGUGGUAAAAAAUGGAUGGAUGGAUAGAAUAUGCCCUGGCUAGUAAAAAAAAAAGCUGCUGUGAUAAAGUGUGAUUGGGUCAUGUGUUGGUCACAUGCUCUCACCUCUUUGUUGCUCGUAACAGCUGGAUCCAAAAUCCACCACCUUGAUGUUUCCUGCUCCUUUCUGAGACAAAAGGAUGUUUUCCUGUUAAAGGAAGAAAAGUACAUGUUUAUUUUGCACCAUCCUCUUGUAAUACCAUAAUGCUCCACAAGAUGGCUCCCGCUAUUGUUGAAGUCAAUGAAAAAAAUUGGUAGACAAAUUCAUGUCUAAUGCAUGCAUCUGCAGGCACCUGAGGAGAGCGUGGGUGAAGCGACGGAUGAGAGCCACACUGAAGCCCUGGAAGUUGUUCUUUUUGAUGAGCUCGUAUAAGUUGACCCUGACGAAAGAAAUGACAACGUUUUUCUUCUUCAAACCCUUAUAGCCACUUCACAUUGGAAUACAUCUUAAUGGGGUUCCCUCCGCUUGGAAAUAAUACGCGACCAGUGUCCUCCUGCUGUUGUGAUGAGCUUGUAACUGGAGCCUUCGCACCGUGAAGCAAGAAGGGGCAUUUGAGCACCUGCCCGAAGGAGCCCUUUCCAAUCACCUCCAGCACUUCAAAUCUGUAGGCAAUGUGGUCGUGCAGCACCUGGAACAAAGCAAAGAAAAGAACCGUGCAAGUUUCUGCUGACCUGGACAAUAAUAUUGAGAGGGUAAAAGACCUAAAGUCAACAAUGGAGGAUCAUCCCAGCAGGUGUGCAAUUAUAAGGGCAGCUUUGACUAAUUGUGAUCCUCUCUGCACGGUCACUUGGUCACAAGGUCAACACAUGGAGCAAAGGUAAGAGUGUACAACAAAUCAAAAAUAGAAAUUGACUUUUAAUACAUGCAUUAUUAUAAAAUUGGCAUCUAUGCAUUGCAAACGUUUAUAUUACUAUCUUUGUGGAAGAAACAUGUAAAGAUCAGCAGGAAUACUCUGGGAAACUUCUCUGUUAUCCAAAUAUAGACUUACUGGUCACAACAUUAGGUACACAUGCAGCCCUCCUGCCCUUCAUAUGACAUUUCUUCGCAAAUGUAUUCCUAGCCCCUUCCUGCUCUGAUACUGAUGAGACUAUAAUGGUACAUUUUCCCAUAUAUUCCCAUUGUUCCCGGUGCGGGCUAGAGAA